rnacentral:rRNA from 1 species
CUAGCCGUAAACGAUGGGCACUGGGUAGGGGGCUCGCCGAUGGGCUCCCUGCCGCAGGGAAACCGUGAAGUGCCCCGCCUGGGGANCGAAGAACCUUAUCCUGGGCUUGACAUGCAGGGAUUAGAGGGCGGAAACGUCCUUGACGCCGCAAGGUGGAACCUGCACAGGUGC